rnacentral:rRNA from 1 species
GAGUGAGCGGCAAAAGCUCAAAUUUGAAAUCUGGCGCCUUCGGUGUCCGAGUUGUAAUUUGAAGAUUGUAACCUUGGGGUUGGCUCUUGUCUAUGUUUCUUGGAACAGGACGUCACAGAGGGUGAGAAUCCCGUGCGAUGAGAUGCCCAAUUCUAUGUAAGGUGCUUUCGAAGAGUCGAGUUGUUUGGGAAUGCAGCUCUAAGUGGGUGGUAAAUUCCAUCUAAAGCUAAAUAUUGGCGAGAGACCGAUAGCGAACAAGUACAGUGAUGGAAAGAUGAAAAGAACUUUGAAAAGAGAGUGAAAAAGUACGUGAAAUUGUUGAAAGGGAAGGGUUUGAGAUCAGACUCGAUAUUUUGUGAGCCUUGCCUUCGUGGCGGGGUGACCCGCAGCUUAUCGGGCCAGCAUCGGUUUGGGCGGUAGGAUAAUGGCGUAGGAAUGUGACUUUACUUCGGUGAAGUGUUAUAGCCUGCGUUGAUGCUGCCUGCCUAGACCGAGGACUGCGAUUUUAUCAAGGAUGCUGGCAUAAUGAUCCCAAACC